GUCCACGCCGUAAAACGAUGAAUACUAGGUGUCAGGGAGCACAGCUCUUUGGUGCCGCCGCAAAACGCAUUAAGUAUUCCACCUGGGGAGUAACGUUCGCAAAGAAUGAAAACUCAAAAGGAAUUGACGGGGACCCGCACAAGCGGUGGAGCAUGUGGUUUAAAUUCGAAGCAAACGCGAAGAACCUUACCAAAAUCUUGACAUCCCUCUGACCGGGACUUAAACCGUCCCUUUCCUUCGGGACAGGGGAGACAGGUGGUGCAUGGUUGUCGU
rnacentral:rRNA from 1 species